CUUCUGAGUUUCUUUUUCUUCUUCUUCUUCUUCUUCUUAACCUGUGUGAAAUUUCUGGUUGCUGGCCAAUAGGAAUUAUAUUGCGUCUAUAUCUGCAAAUGUUCAUAAGUUUAGUCUAUGUGGUAGUGCAACCUUUGUCAACCAACAAAAUAUCAGCAACAUCUGAACUUUACUGCACUCUAAGGUAUAUAUCUGGUGAAAAGCCAUCUUACAUGUUGAUUGAUUUUCAAAAUAAUUUCUUCUUCAUAUCUUUCUAGCUUCAAUUAAUGUCAGUUUUAUUCUUCUCUUCUUGUAAGCUUUACCUUAGCAAAAAGGCUGAUUGGUUUGGAUGCAUGCACAUGUUGGGAGAAUAGUUCUUAAUAGUAAGCAAAUAAGUUUGAAUGGCCACUCUGCUGAGAGAUUUUGAUGACCUCCCUAAUCAAUUAGAAGAGGGCAAGAUGCAUGGCAUACUUCAACAGUGUGGCAGUACGGCAUAUUCUUGUUUCAAUUGGCUUGUUACAAUUACAAGGAACUUGCCACUUUAAAAGAUUUUGGUAAGGUCUGUUUCUUGUGAAUGAGUUGGUUAGAUUCCUUGAAAUUGAUUGUGGAAGA